rnacentral:rRNA from 1 species
UACAGGGGGGGCAAGCGUUGUUCGGAAUUACUGGGCGUAAAGGGCGCGUAGGCGGCCAUCUAAGUCAGACGUGAAAUCCCCCGGCUUAACCUGGGAACUGCGUCUGAUACUGGACGGCUUGAGUAUGGGAGAGGGAUGUAGAAUUCCAGGUGUAGCGGUGAAAUGCGUAGAUAUCUGGAGGAAUACCGGUGGCGAAGGCGGCAUCCUGGACCAUUACUGACGCUGAGGCGCGAAAGCUAGGGGAGCAAACGGGG